rnacentral:rRNA from 1 species
GAUGAACGCUAGCGGCAGGCUUAAUACAUGCAAGUCGAGGGGCAGCGCGGGUAGCAAUACCUGGCGGCGACCGGCAAACGGGUGCGGAACACGUACGCAACCUUCCCAUAACUGGUGAAUAGCCCUCCGAAAGGAGGAUUAAUACACCGUAACAUAACGAAGAGGCAUAUUUUUGUUAUUAUAGUAGCAAUACGGUUUUGGAUGGGCGUGCGCCUGAUUAGGUAGUUGGCGGGGUAACGGCCCACCAAGCCUGCGAUCAGUAACUGGUGUGAGAGCACGACCAGUCACACGGGCACUGAGACACGGGCCCGACUCCUACGGGAGGCAGCAGUAAGGAAUAUUGGUCAAUGGACGAAAGUCUGAACCAGCCAUGCCGCGUGAAGGAUUAAGGCCCUCUGGGUUGUAAACUUCUUUUAUCUGGGACGAAAAAAGGGCAUUCUUGCUCACUUGACGGUACCAGAGGAAUAAGCACCGACUAACUCCGUGCCAGCCGCCGCGGUAA